rnacentral:hammerhead_ribozyme from 1 species
AUCCAGCUGACCAGUCCCAAAUAGGAUGAAAAGGCAUCUUGGAU